rnacentral:rRNA from 1 species
GACGAACGCUGGCGGCGUGCCUAAUACAUGCAAGUAGAACGCUGAAGGAGGAGCUUGCUCUUUCCGGAUGAGUUGCGAACGGGUGAGUAACGCGUAGGUAACCUGCCUGGUAGCGGGGGAUAACUAUUGGAAACGAUAGCUAAUACCGCAUAACAGUAGAUAUCGCAUGAUAGCUGCUUGAAAGGUGCAACUGCACCACUACCAGAUGGACCUGCGUUGUAUUAGCUAGUUGGUGAGGUAACGGCUCACCAAGGCAACGAUACAUAGCCGACCUGAGAGGGUGAUCGGCCACACUGGGACUGAGACACGGCCCAGACUCCUACGGGAGGCAGCAGUAGGGAAUCUUCGGCAAUGGACGGAAGUCUGACCGAGCAACGCCGCGUGAGUGAAGAAGGUUUUCGGAUCGUAAAGCUCUGUUGUAAGAGAAGAACGAGUGUGAGAGUGGAAAGUUCACACUGUGACGGUAUCUUACCAGAAAGGGACGGCUAACUACGUGCCAGCAGCCGCGGUAAUACGUAGGUCCCGAGCGUUGUCCGGAUUUAUUGGGCGUAAAGCGAGCGCAGGCGGUUAGAUAAGUCUGAAGUUAAAGGCUGUGGCUUAACCAUAGUACGCUUUGGAAACUGUUUAACUUGAGUGCAAGAGGGGAGAGUGGAAUUCCAUGUGUAGCGGUGAAAUGCGUAGAUAUAUGGAGGAACACCGGUGGCGAAAGCGGCUCUCUGGCUUGUAACUGACGCUGAGGCUCGAAAGCGUGGGGAGCAAACAGG